rnacentral:rRNA from 1 species
UACGUAGGGUGCGAGCGUUGUCCGGAAUUCUUGGGCGUAAAGAGCUCGUAGGCGGUCUGUCGCGUCGGUCGUGAAAACUUGGGGCUUAACCCUGAGCUUGCGGUCGAUACGGGCAUGACUGGAGUUCGGCAGGGGAGACUGGAAUUCCUGGUGUAGCGGUGAAAUGCGCAGAUAUCAGGAGGAACACCGGUGGCGAAGGCGGGUCUCUGGGGCCGAUACUGACGCUGAGGAGCGAAAGCGUGGGGAGCGAACAGG